UGUGAGUCUUUGAUUCUUGUGCCUGAAUG
rnacentral:piRNA from 1 species